rnacentral:rRNA from 1 species
GUUGUGAGGUUAAGCGACUAAGCGUACACGGUGGAUGCCCUGGCAGUCAGAGGCGAUGAAGGACGUGCUAAUCUGCGAUAAGCGCCGGUAAGGUGAUAUGAACCGUUAUAACCGGCGAUUUCCGAAUGGGGAAACCCAGUGUGACUCGUCACACUAUCAUUAACUGAAUCCAUAGGUUAAUGAGGCGAACCGGGGGAACUGAAACAUCUAAGUACCCCGAGGAAAAGAAAUCAACCGAGAUUCCCCCAGUAGCGGCGAGCGAACGGGGAGGAGCCCAGAGCCUGAAUCAGCAUGUGUGUUAGUGGAAGCGUCUGGAAAGGCGCGCGAUACAGGGUGACAGCCCCGUACACAAAAGCGCAUGUGCUGUGAGCUCGAUGAGUAGGGCGGGACACGUGGUAUCCUGUCUGAAUAUGGGGGGACCAUCCUCCAAGGCUAAAUACUCCUGACUGACCGAUAGUGAACCAGUACCGUGAGGGAAAGGCGAAAAGAACCCCGGCGAGGGGAGUGAAAAAGAACCUGAAACCGUGUACGUACAAGCAG